UCCAAGCCAAACAGGUCCUUGAAUCUCUGUUUCAUCGUCCUUGAUGUCAAUGAGUACAUGUCCCAGUUGCAGAUGUUGUAGAUGUCUGAGUUUUUACACGCCACAUUUUGCAGCAAGUACAGCAGAAAUGUCUUCAUGGCAUAGUGUGUGAGACCCAAACGGGAAACUUGCCUAUGCAGCUAGAGAACAUGAACGAUGGGCUCGAGCUGUAGCAAAAACCAUAGCUGUCUUUCAGCCGUUGUUAAGCUGAAGCCAAGGCAAUAUUCGUACGGGUGUUCACGCGAACAAAAUGAUUUAUCUUUGGGGGUGAUUACUGUACAAUCU
rnacentral:lncRNA from 1 species